rnacentral:lncRNA from 1 species
AGAAGAUCCUUUUCUACCACAAUCACAAGGGAUCUGAAGGACUUGGAAAUCACCACUUAGAAACCUGCACUCCUACAGGGACAGUGCUUGUGAAAAUGAAGGAUAGUUGUGCCUGCACUACAAGGAGGGUGAUUUAGAAUCUCCUGCAACCAGACACUUCCUUUCUGCUGAAAUCACUACAGCACUCUAGCCCAGGCAAAAUGGUGGCCGAGACAACCGACAUUUGUUCUUUCCAUCCUACCACGUAGUCAUCAAACUGCUGGGCCUUGGGUUGGAGAAGAGGAGCAGAGGAUUGAUUUAGGAUGUAUCUACACUGAAGUACCGAGUGCAGUCUAGCUACAGGAGUCCGUAACUUUCCUUUUUUUCUGGUAUG